rnacentral:rRNA from 1 species
UACGAAUGGAGCGAGCGUUGUUCGGAAUCACUGGGCGUAAAGCGUGCGCAGGCGGUCUUGAAAGUCAGAAGUGAAAGCCCCGGGCUUAACCCGGGAAUUGCUUUUGAAACUCCAAGACUAGAGUACUGGAGGGGUUGGCGGAAUUCCGAGUGUAGCAGUGAAAUGCGUAGAUAUUCGGAGGAACACCGAUGGCGUAGGCAGCCAACUGGACAGUAACUGACGCUCAGGCACGAAAGCGUGGGGAUCAAACAGG